rnacentral:rRNA from 1 species
AGACGUCUACAUUAGAUACCCGCGUAGUCCCAGCCGUAAACUAUACGCGUUAGGUGUAUCGGUGACCACGAGUCACCGAGGUGCCGAAGGGAAACCGUGAAACGUGCCGCCUGGGAAGUACGGUCGCAAGGCUGAAACUUAAAGGAAUUGGCGGGGAGCACCACAACGGGUGGAGCCUGCGGUUUAAUUGGACUCAACGCCGGGAAGCUCACCGGAUAAGACAGCGGAAUGAUUGCCGGGCUGAAGACUCUGCAUGACUAGCUG